rnacentral:rRNA from 1 species
UACGUAGGGACCAAGCGUUGUUCGGAAUUACUGGGCGUAAAGGGCGCGUAGGCGGUGCUCUAAGUCGGAUGUGAAAACUCUGGGCUCAACCCAGAGCCUGCAUCCGAAACUGGAGUGCUAGAGUUCUGGAGGGGGUAGCGGAAUUCCUGGUGUAGCGGUGAAAUGCGUAGAUAUCAGGAGGAACACCGGUGGCGAAGGCGGCUACCUGGACAGAAACUGACGCUGAGGCGCGAAAGCUAGGGGAGCAAACAGG